UAACCUGCCUGGUAGCGGGGGAUAACUAUUGGAAACGAUAGCUAAUACCGCAUAAUAUCUUUAAUUGCAUGAUUGAAGUUUGAAAGAUGCAACUGCAUCACUACCAGAUGGACCUGCGUUGUAUUAGCUAGUAGGUGAGGUAAAGGCUCACCUAGGCGACGAUACAUAGCCGACCUGAGAGGGUGAACGGCCACACUGGGACUGAGACACGGCCCAGACUCCUACGGGAGGCAGCAGUAGGGAAUCUUCGGCAAUGGGGGCAACCCUGACCGAGCAACGCCGCGUGAGUGAAGAAGGUUUUCGGAUCGUAAAGCUCUGUUGUAAGAGAAGAACGUGUGUGAGAGUGGAAAGUUCACACAGUGACGGUAACUUACCAGAAAGGGACGGCUAACUACGUGCCAGCAGCCGCGGUAAUACGUAGGUCCCGAGCGUUAUCCGGAUUUAUUGGGCGUAAAGCGAGCGCAGGCGGUUGGAUAAGUCUGAAGUUAAAGGCUGUGGCUCANCCAUAGUAUGCUUUGGAAACUGUUCAACUUGAGUG
rnacentral:rRNA from 1 species